rnacentral:rRNA from 1 species
GAUGAACGCUGGCGGCGUGCCUAAUACAUGCAAGUCGAGCGAACAGACGAGGAGCUUGCUCCUCUGACGUUAGCGGCGGACGGGUGAGUAACACGUGGAUAACCUACCUAUAAGACUGGGAUAACUUCGGGAAACCGGAGCUAAUACCGGAUAAUAUAUUGAACCGCAUGGUUCAAUAGUGAAAGACGGUUUUGCUGUCACUUAUAGAUGGAUCCGAGCCGCAUUAGCUAGUUGGUAAGGUAACGGCUUACCAAGGCAACGAUGCGUAGCCGACCUGAGAGGGUGAUCGGCCACACUGGAACUGAGACACGGUCCAGACUCCUAAGGGAGGCAGCAGUAGGGAAUCUUCCGCAAUGGGCGAAAGCAUGACGGAGCAACGCCGCGUGAGUGAUGAAGGUCUUCGGAUCGUAAAACUCUGUUAUUAGGGAAGAACAAAUGUGUAAGUAACUAUGCACGUCUUGACGGUACCUAAUCAGAAAGCCACGGCUAACUACGUG